rnacentral:rRNA from 1 species
GUCGAACGCUCGUAGCAAUACGGGAGUGGCAGACGGGUGAGUAACGCGUGGGAACAUACCCUCCGGUUCGGAAUAACUCAGGGAAACUUGAGCUAAUACCGGAUACGGCUUAGCGGCGAAAGAUUCAUCGCCGGAGGAUUGGCCCGCGUUCGAUUAGCUUGUUGGUGAGGUAACGGCUCACCAAGGCGACGAUCGAUAGCUGGUCUGAGAGGAUGAUCAGCCACAUUGGGACUGAGACACGGCCCAAACUCCUACGGGAGGCAGCAGUGGGGAAUAUUGGACAAUGGGCGCAAGCCUGAUCCAGCCAUGCCGCGUGAGUGAUGACGGCCUUAGGGUUGUAAAGCUCUUUCGCUCGGGACGAUAAUGACGGUACCGAGAUAAGAAGCCCCGGCUAACUUCGUGCCAGCAGCCGCGGUAAUACGAAGGGGGCUAGCGUUGUUCGGAAUUACUGGGCGUAAAGCGCGUGUAGGCGGGUCUUUAAGUCAGGGGUGAAAUGCCAAGGCUCAACCUUGGAACUGCCUUUGAUACUGGAGAUCUUGAGUCCGGGAGAGGUGAGUGGAAUUGCGAGUGUAGAGGUGAAAUUCGUAGAUAUUCGCAAGAACACCAGUGGCGAAGGCGGCUCACUGGCCCGGAACUGACGCUGAGACGCGAAAGCGUGGGGAGCAAACAGGAUUAGAUACCCUGGUAGUCCACGCUGUAAACGAUGGAUGCUAGCCGUUGGGGAGCUUGCUCUUCAGUG